CGGCGGACGGGUGAGUAACACGUGGGUAACCUGCCUGUAAGACUGGGAUAACUCCGGGAAACCGGGGCUAAUACCGGAUGCUUGAUUGAACCGCAUGGUUCAAUUAUAAAAGGUGGCUUUUAGCUACCACUUACAAAUGGACCCGCGGCGCAUUAGCUAGUUGGUGAGGUAACGGCUCACCAAGGCAACAAUGCGUAGCCAACCUGAAAGGGUGAUCGGCCACACUGGGACUGAAACACGGCCCAAACUCCUACGGGAGGCAGCAGUAGGGAAUCUUCCGCAAUGGACAAAAGUCUGACGGAGCAACGCCCCGUGAGUGAUGAAGGUUUUCGGAUCGUAAAACUCUGUUGUUAGGGAAAAACAAGUACCGUUCGAAUAGGGCGGUACCUUGACGGUACCUAACCAAAAAGCCACGGCUAAUUACGUGCCAGCAGCCGCGGUAAUACGUAGGUGGCAAGCGUUGUCCGGAAUUAUUGGGCGUAAAGCGCGCGCAGGCGGUUUCUUAAGUCUGAUGUGAAAGCCCCCGGCUCAACCGGGGAGGGUCAUUGGAAACUGGGGAACUUGAGUGCAAAAAAGGAGAGUGGAAUUCCACGUGUAGCGGUGAAAUGCGUAGAGAUGUGAAGGAACACCAGUGGCGAAGGCAACUCUCUGGUCUGUAACUGACGCUAAGGCGCGAAAGCGUGGGGAGCGAACAGGAUUAGAUACCCUGGUAGUCCACGCCGUAAACGAUGAGUGCUAAGUGUUAGAGGGUUUCCGCCCUUUAGUGCUGCAGCAAACGCAUUAAGCACUCCGCCUGGGGAGUACGGUCGCAAGACUGAAACUCAAAGGAAUUGACGGGGGCCCGCACAAGCGGUGGAGCAUGUGGUUUAAUUCGAAGCAACGCGAAGAACCUUACCAGGUCUUGACAUCCUCUGACAACCCUAGAGAUAGGGCUUCCCCUUCGGGGGCAGAGUGACAGGUGGUGCAUGGUUGUCGUCAGCUCGUGUCGUGAGAUGUUGGGUUAAGUCCCGCAACGAGCGCAACCCUUGAUCUUAGUUGCCAGCAUUCAGUUGGGCACUCUAAGGUGACUGCCGGUGACAAACCGGAGGAAGGUGGGGAUGACGUCAAAUCAUCAUGCCCCUUAUGACCUGGGCUACACACGUGCUACAAUGGGCAGAACAAAGGGCAGCGAAGCCGCGAGGCUAAGCCAAUCCCACAAAUCUGUUCUCAGU
rnacentral:rRNA from 1 species